UUUGCCGUUCUGUUUGCUGUGGCCUCCUUUUUGUUGGUAGACGCUGCACCCCGUGCACAAGUAAAGCGCGGCUUCAAAUCGUAUUUUGAAAACUACUUGGAUGAAAUGGCAACAAGUGCUUGUGUUGCGAUGGGAAAUACCGUACGUCUGUACUUUGCAGUUCGUCGAACUUGUAGUAUCAAAAGCAAAGAAACAUGUCACAAAGUUUGCACUUCGCAACAAGUAAGAAAGGAAGGGCAAAUCUGGAACUCCAAAAAGCUGCUUAAUACAAGGUGUGUGGAGUCAUUACAUGUCUACAAGAAUCGCCCAUCGUUGGCUGACAAUAAGUUGGCUGAUACAGAUGUGAACAAAGUGGGCCUAGCAAUUUACCGUUACCAUUCUUGCAACACUGGUGGUUGCGGUCCUAACUACUGCUGCUGUUCAGGGCCAUACAGUUCCUAAAUUCAAGCGUACUUUAAUUUUAAACGAUACAUA